CCUCCUACGGGAGGCAGCAGUGGGGAAUAUUGCACAAUGGGGGAAACCCUGAUGCAGCGACGCCGCGUGAGUGAUGAAGUAUUUCGGUAUGUAAAGCUCUAUCAGCAGGGAAGAUAAUGACGGUACCUGACUAAGAAGCUCCGGCUAACUACGUGCCAGCAGCCGCGGUAAUACGUAGGGGGCAAGCGUUAUCCGGAUUUACUGGGUGUAAAGGGAGCGUAGACGGCAGCGCAAGUCUGGAGUGAAAUCCCAUGGCUUAACCAUGGAACUGCUUUGGAAACUGUGCAGCUAGAGUGCAGGAGAGG
rnacentral:rRNA from 1 species